rnacentral:lncRNA from 1 species
AGUCACCUAAUGAUUAUUAACAUUACUAAACAUGCCAUUAUUCAUUAAUAUCGGACAACUGAAAAACUAACAAUGCUGAAUAGUUGGUAGUCUAAUUCCUGAACUUCCGCUAACUUAUUCUGCAUCAUCGAUAACUAUUGAAGCAACCUUGUCUCAAUUAUUUUAAGAUCAAAAAUCAAGACUAAUUGACUUGUAUAAAGUAGUACUGGAGUUUCUCAACGAUCCAGAGCUGAAAAACAACUUCUUGAUCGAAACAAAGCUUCCUUCUUGGGGGAAGAAGAAUCCAAGCUCCUCAACAGAAGCUACUUGACAGCAGAGAUGAGUUGAUCAUGAGUUGGAUUAGGAGGUGGCCACAAAGAUCUGAACUUCUUGCAGAAACUCAUGUGGGAAUUCAGGGUUUCUUCUUCAUCGCCAGUUCUCCUCUGGGAUCUGACCACCUCGUCCUUGACUGCCUCAGUACACAGCCCACAAAUCAAGCGCCCCUAAAACCUCUCACAGACCCUUUUGAUGUAUGCCUCGGUACAUUCCUCAGUCAAUCCGCAGCACUCACGUUUGGCAAACUCCAAAUCACUAUUAGGACUGCUGCUGCUGCUUGAUGUUGACAUCUUUGCCACGUUCAAGCCGCUGGCUUCAGGGGAUGUUUGAGUAUCAAUUGCAGUCAUUUUCGGGAUACUUUCCCGAUCUUGAGGCUUGAAUCCCGCAGAUAAACAGACGAGGGAACUUGGGGAUGAGAUAUUAUUGUGAGUUUGGCAGGUUUUUUUAGCUGACAAAUCUGAGGGUUUUUUUUUUUUUCCUAAAAUUGAAUCUCUGAAAGGAAGAUUCUAUCUUUCUUUCUCCCACUCUCCUUCUUCUUCAACAAUCUCACCACCAAUGAUCAAGAGCUUGAAUACCAUAUACAUUUCAGAGCCUUGUUUGGCUCUUUGAGAUUGGAUUUUUCACUCUUGAAAGUGGGAGAGGGGAGAAUUUGUUAAUUCUUGUUGAAGGAUUGUUUGGAAGGAGACGAAGUGAAGGUUCAAGAAUCUGAAUUCUUCUUCAUCUU